GUCAGUGACCGGCCCAUGUAUGCUGGUCUAUGGUAGGGGCUCUCCCGGCCCAGCAGGUCUGCGUGUCUUUGCUCCCUCAAAAGGGGCAGAUGAGGGGGAAAGAAACCCACAAGUCAGUCCCGGGGAGUUGUGGAGCCUGAAGAAAUCUCAAGAGAUUCAGGGUCAACACUAAGACACUGAGUCAACAGUGAGCUCACCGUUUCUACUCAAUGAUUCCACUGGAAAAGCUUCUCCUUUGAAAACGAUCAGAGUCACGAAGCCUAGUUUUAUCACCAGGUUAUUCGGUUGCCAAAGACCUUGGAGCAGGCCUUUGGUACGUUUCAUCUGAUUCUGAAACUCAGCGGUUUCACACCGGAACACAUCAAAACAGGCAAGAACAGGAAGUGGAAAAAACAUUUUGACCCAAUGGAAACUACCUUUAGUUCACCUGGAUUCCUCUGAAACAGCAGUCAAAUGGGCUCAGAUGCUAACUGUGGAAGAGCACCCGCAGGUGGCGUGUCCCCCACAGGGACUUUGUUGGUACCUCAUCAGCAGUGUGUGCAAACCUCGGGCUCUUAUGAUUGUCUCAGUUUGAAAAAACCUCCUCCUAAUAUACAACCAUCUGAGCUGGCUGUGGUGAUGCACGCCUGUAAUCCUAGCACUCUGGGAGGCUGAGACAGGAAGAGGACAAGUUUGAGCCUGGUCUGGGCAACUCAUUGAGACGCUAUCCCAAAAUAAAAAUAAAAAGGGCUGAGGAGGUAGCUAGCUCAUCUUUGCGCUAAACUAGUAUGGCCAGAGAUCUUAACAGAGACACACUUAAUCAUUCAUUCAACGAACACCGACCAGGUACUGUGUCACUGGGACACAAUACCUGUCACUCACAAGUUAAAGAAGGAAAGGUUUAUUUUAGUUCAAUUUGUAGAGGUUUCAGUCCAUAGUCGGCUGGCCCCAAGGCAGGGUGGCACACUGCAGAGGGGCAUCGCAGAGGAGAGCAGGCAAGAAGCAGGGAAAAGGCCAGGGAGGAGGAGGGAGACAGACCCUGCCAGGCCACGCCCCC
rnacentral:lncRNA from 1 species